rnacentral:rRNA from 1 species
UACGAAGGGGGCUAGCGUUGCUCGGAAUGACUGGGCGUAAAGGGCGCGUAGGCGGAUGGCACAGUCAGAUGUGAAAUUCCCGGGCUUAACCUGGGGGCUGCAUUUGAUACGUGUUGUCUAGAGUGAGGAAGAGGGUCGUGGAAUUCCCAGUGUAGAGGUGAAAUUCGUAGAUAUUGGGAAGAACACCGGUGGCGAAGGCGGCAACCUGGUCCUUGACUGACGCUGAGGCGCGAAAGCGUGGGGAGCAAACAGG